CCGGCGCCCGCACUCCAGAGAGGCCGGUGAGGCGGGCGGUUGUGGCCGCAAAAGAAAACAGAAGAGAGGAGGGCGGGCGGCGGCGGAGAGUCCGCGAGGACGUGAGGCUCGAGCGCCGGCUCCGCGGGCGCCGCGCGGACACAGGCCAGUCGCACCCGGCGCCUGGUUCCCGGCGGGCGGGCGGGGCGGCGGCCCUGGCGGAGCCGGAGGAGGCGGCGGAAGGUGACCGCAGGGGAAGCGAAAGUCCCACCAGGUUGCCAGCUUCACGCAGCUCCUGCCACUGCUCCCCGGGCUCAUCCUCAGAGGAGCCCUGCCCGGACCCCUGAGCAGAGGCAGGAGGGAAAGUGCUAACUGCAUGGUGCCGAGUGCUUCAUCUCUUUUAGGCUCGGGAGGAACCGUCUCGCUUCCAGUUCUUGCCGGACGCUCUGAGCACGUUUUGAGUCAUUUCUUAGGAAAUGAAAAUCGGGAGAAGGUGCGAAAUCGCCUGAGGGCCUGGGUUCCCGCUCCCCGGGUCCCUUGAAGGUCAGGGAGCAGCAGUCUCCUCCCCUGGGUCACUGACUGGCUCGGCCCGUCCCCACGUCCCUGGGAGGCGGUGAGGUCACCCUGGAGAGACUGGGAAGUCUGUCCUCCACGCUUUCUCCUUGAAGUAAACUUUAAAAAUAAAUAAAAAGCACUAAUUUUUAUAACACA